UACAGAGGUCUCAAGCGUUGUUCGGAUUCAUUGGGCGUAAAGGGUGCGUAGGCGGCGCGGUAAGUCGGGUGUGAAAUCUUGGAGCUUAACUCCGAAGCUGCAUUCGAUACUGCGGUGCUUGAGGACUGGAGAGGAGACUGGAAUUCAUGGUGUAGCAGUGAAAUGCGUAGAGAUCAUGAGGAAGACCAGUGGCGAAGGCGGGUCUCUGGACAGUUCCUGACACUGAGACACGAAGGCCAGGGGAGCAAACGGG
rnacentral:rRNA from 1 species